AACAUUUUAUAAAUAUAAAUCAGGUUGCUGUGUGUAGUUAAUCAGUAUUUAUUCUCUCUUUUAUUUCCUAGGCCCAGGUGAAGGAAUUACCUCUGCUAAUGAAUAGUCUUUUCCAAAGAAAACAUAAAGAGUUCUACCAAGGACCCCUUUGCAGAGAAUGAGAUGGGACACAAAAUAACACAUGGAAUUGGUGGCAUGGCAUUCAUGUCCUACUCCUAGAUUCAUAUCAGAGUGAGUUUAACAGUGGAAUGAAAAUGUUUCCAUGCCUUAUCAAAAGAGUUAGAUGGCUAAAGAUCUGAAUCAGAGCAAGACUUUAUAGCCUGAAGGAAGCAUGACUUACAGAUAAACCAGACUAUAUACACUCCAGCAACUAGUUGCCAAAGUACCAUA
rnacentral:lncRNA from 1 species